ensembl:lncRNA
GGUCCGUUCUGACCCUGAAGCAGCACAGAGAGUCUGCUCUUUUGGCAGAGCGGCCACAAAUGCCACCUUUGUACACUGCCAUGCAGCUUAAAGGCAGCUGCAGAGGAGACUGCCUGAAAGUAAGCUGAAAAAAAUGUCAGCUAAGGUCAGGAGGAAAUAAGCUGCUCUGCAGUGGGGAUAAAGCCAGGCUCUGUACAUGUGGCAUGGCUGUUUGCUUCCAGCGUAAUUAACUUCCUCAGAAGAAAAGCAAGUUUUGAAGAGUGUUCUAGGAGCAGCAGUGUUUUUCAUCUGCCAAACGGACACAUCCAUCCAUCCAUCCAUCCAAAAGAAGUAAGGCCACCUGAUUCUUUGCUUGUGUGAGGCGUUACAGUGAAAAUUCUAAUCUUUUCUUU